AUGAACGCUGGCGGCGUGCCUCAUCCAUGCAAGUCGCGCGAACGGACGAGAAGCUUGCUUCUCUGAUGUUAGCGGCGGACGGGUGAGUAACACGUGGAUAACCUACCUAUAAGACUGGGAUAACUUCGGGAAACCGGAGCUAAUACCGGAUAAUAUUUUGAACCGCAUGGUUCAAAAGUGAAAGACGGUCUUGCUGUCACCUAUAGAUGGAUCCGCGCUGCAUUAGCUAGUUGGUAAGGUAACGGCUUACCAAGGCAACGAUGCAUAGCCGACCUGAGAGGGUGAUCGGCCACACUGGACCUGAGCCACGGUCCAGACUCCUACGGGAGGCAGCAGUAGGGAAUCUUCCGCAAUGGGCGAAAGCCUGACGGAGCAACGCCGCGUGAGUGAUGAAGGUCUUCGGAUCGUAAAACUCUGUUAUUAGGGAAGAACAUAUGUGUAAGUAACUGUGCACAUCUUGACGGUACCUAAUCAGAAAGCCACGGCUAACUACGUG
rnacentral:rRNA from 1 species